GUGCUCGUAGCUCAGUCGGAUAGAGCGACAGACUUCUAAUCUGUAGGUCGUGGGUUCGAUUCCCUCCGGGCACA
rnacentral:tRNA from 1 species